GAUGAACGCUGGCGGCGUGCCUAAUACAUGCAAGUCGAGCGAACGGACGAGAAGCUUGCUUCUCUGAUGUUAGCGGCGGACGGGUGAGUAACACGUGGAUAACCUGCCUAUAAGACUGGGAUAACUUCGGGAAACCGGAGCUAAUACCGGAUAUUAUUUUGAACCGCAUGGUUCAAAAGUGAAAGACGGUCUUGCUGUCACUUAUAGAUGGAUCCGCGCUGCAUUAGCUAGUUGGUAAGGUAACGGCUUACCAAGGCAACGAUGCAUAGCCGACCUGAGAGGGUGAUCGGCCACACUGGAACUGAGACACGGUCCAGACUCCUACGGGAGGCAGCAGUAGGGAAUCUUCCGCAAUGGGCGAAAGCCUGACGGAGCAACGCCGCGUGAGUGAUGAAGGUCUUCGGAUCGUAAAACUCUGUUAUUAGGGAAGAACAUAUGUGUAAGUAACUGUGCACAUCUUGACGGUACCUAAUCAGAAAGCCACGGCUAACUACGUG
rnacentral:rRNA from 1 species